AACGAACGCUGGCGGCAUGCCUAACACAUGCAAGUCGAACGGACCCUUCGGGGUUAGUGGCGCACGGGUGCGUAACGCGUGGGAAUCUGCCCUUAGGUUCGGGAUAACAGCGGGAAACUGCUGCUAAUACCGGAUGAUAUCGCGAGAUCAAAGAUUUAUCGCCUGAGGAUGAGCCCGCGUAGGAUUAGGUAGUUGGUGGGGUAAGAGCCUACCAAGCCGACGAUCCUUAGCUGGUCUGAGAGGAUGAUCAGCCACACUGGGACUGAGACACGGCCCAGACUCCUACGGGAGGCAGCAGUGGGGAAUAUUGGACAAUGGGCGAAAGCCUGAUCCAGCAAUGCCGCGUGAGUGAUGAAGGCCUUAGGGUUGUAAAGCUCUUUUACCCGGGAUGAUAAUGACAGUACCGGGAGAAUAAGCUCCGGCUAACUCCGUGCCAGCCGCCGCCGUAACA
rnacentral:rRNA from 1 species